GCAUUUCAAAAUCCUUUUUCCAUUUGCAAUUUAAUAAACUGCAGUUCAAAAUCCAUUUCCCUUUCCUGUUCGCUCCGGGAUUAGGUGCUGGAUUAGCUGCUGGAUUAGCUGCUGGAUUAGCUCUUCGAUUAACAACUUGCUGGAGGCUAUUCAAAUUAGCCACACCGUGGGAUGUAAGGAGCUCUCUGAUUGGUUGGUCAGACACAGGCUGUCUGCCAGCCUGGAUUUUUCUAGCUCAUAGCUUCGCCCUGCUAAGAAGCCUGUGUGCUUGUACAAAGGCCGUUCAGCGUCGGGAUUUACACUCGGCUCGACACGGAUAUGUGAAGGAUGAAGGGACCCUGCAGCGAAACGGAGAGCGCAACCUCUGACUGAGUGCCCGUUUUCGCAGUCUGACCACCUGUUGAAGGCUGUUUGAUGACGAUUUGGACUCCUCUGGGAGAUGAGGACACACACACAUCUGUUCCAUACUGCAGCCAUUGAUGGUGUUACAGCUCUGAGUCAGCUUUGGGCCAUCAGAUGCACACACUGGAAAACCAGCACCUGGACUUCAUGCAGGAGAGACGGCCUCAGUGAUAAUUCAUCAGCAGCUGUGAAGAGAUGCAUUUGAAUAUCUUCUGGUUCCACUUUUCCUAACCUGGAAGCGGAGGAUGGCUGAUUCCUGACAAGGACACACACCUCAGCGCUUAUCAUGGGUGUUACAUCCUCCGUGCAGCAAUUCCAGAGAAAACGAGAGAGCAACGACAACUCAUUAAGACCAGACAGAAAUCUGUCCCUUUCUGGCAGCUGUGGAAACUUUCAAUAAGAAAGUUUGCAUUCUUAGAACAAUGCUGGGUCAUGUGUGAUGUGUCAUCAUAUGAGGAUAUUACAUUUUGACUUAAUUC